GUCCACGCCCUAAACGAUGUCUACUAGUUGUCGGGAGGGUAACUCCUUCGGUAACGCAGCUAACGCGUGAAGUAGACCGCCUGGGGAGUACGGUCGCAAGAUUAAAACUCAAAGGAAUUGACGGGGACCCGCACAAGCGGUGGAUGAUGUGGAUUAAUUCGAUGCAACGCGAAAAACCUUACCUACCCUUGACAUGCCACUAACGAAGCAGAGAUGCAUUAGGUGCCCGAAAGGGAAAGUGGACACAGGUGCUGCAUGGCUGUCGU
rnacentral:rRNA from 1 species